UUUGGCCUUAUGCCAUUGCAUUCUCAAACUUCUUUUCUUAAAUCAAACUGGUAAAUAAACUUAACUAUAUCUGACUUAAAAUUUUCAAAAGCCAAAAUGAACUAACUCAUUCAAACCAUUUUCUAGGCCCUUGUGCCUUUCAAAUUUAAUUUUUGACUAAAAGCAAUGCACCCACUUUGAAAUUUGUAUCACGAACUACGAGGUUUUGAUCCCUCAUUUUUAUGUUGGUACGUAGGCACAAGUCUGAAGGUCUUGCCAAACACAAAAAUAUAAUUAAUGGAUUCUUUUCUCAUCCCCCCAUUCUAUUUGUUUGUAAACAUCACUUUGUAUAAAAUACAUAUGCACACAAGAAAGGGCUCCCUAGGAGUACCUAGGACACUUUUGGUGCUAACACCUUCCCUCUGUGUAAC
rnacentral:lncRNA from 1 species